rnacentral:rRNA from 1 species
GACGAACGCUGGCGGUGUGCUUAACACAUGCAAGUCGAACGGUAAGGCCCUUUCGGGGGUACACGAGUGGCGCACGGGUGAGUAACACGUGAGUAACCUGCCCUCAUCUCUGGGAUAACAGUCGGAAACGGUUGCUAAUACUGGAUAUGAGCUUGCAAGGCAUCUUGUGGGUUGGAAAGAUUUUUUUUGGUUGGGGAUGGACUCGCGGCCUAUCAGCUUGUUGGUGCGGUAGUGGCUCACCAAGGCUUCGACGGGUAGCCGGCCUGAGAGGGCGACCGGCCACAUUGGGACUGAGAUACGGCGCAAACUCCUACGGGAGGCAGCAGUGGGGAAUAUUGCACAAUGGACGGAAGUCUGAUGCAGCAACGCCGCGUGCGGGAUGAAGGCCUUCGGGUUGUAAACCGCUUUCAAUUGUGACGAAGCUUUUUUGUGACGGUAGCAGUAGAAGAAGCACCGGCUAACUACGUG